GACGAACGCUGGCGGCGCGCUUAACACAUGCAAGUCGAGCGAGAACCAGUCCUUCGGGGCUGGGGACAGCGGCGAACGGGUGAGUAACACGUGGAUAAUCAACCCUCGACACUGGGAUAGCCCGGGGAAACCCCGGAUUAAUACCGGAUGUCCCACCUGGCUUUCGGGCCGGUUGGAAAAGGUAGCUUCGGCCUCCGGUCGGGGACGAGUCCGCGGCGGAUUAGCUUGUUGGCGGGGUAAAGGCCCACCAAGGCGACGAUCCGUAGCUGG
rnacentral:rRNA from 1 species